rnacentral:rRNA from 1 species
AUCAUGGCUCAGGAUGAACGCUAGCUACAGGCUUAACACAUGCAAGUCGAGGGGCAGCAUCGCGAUAGCUUGCUAUUGCGGAUGGCGACCGGCGCACGGGUGAGUAACGCGUAUCCAACCUUCCCGCAACUGGGGAAUAACCUUGCGAAAGUAAGACUAAUACCCCAUGGUCUCCACGGAUGGCAUCUGAAAUGGAGUAAAGGUUUCGGCUGGUUGCGGAUGGGGAUGCGUCCGAUUAGCUUGACGGCGGGGUAACGGCCCACCGUGGCAUCGAUCGGUAGGGGUUCUGAGAGGAAGGUCCCCCACAUUGGAACUGAGACACGGUCCAAACUCCUACGGGAGGCAGCAGUGAGGAAUAUUGGUCAAUGGGCGGAAGCCUGAACCAGCCAAGUAGCGUGAAGGACGACUGCCCUAUGGGUUGUAAACUUCUUUUAUGCGGGGAUAAAGUUCGCCACGUGUGGCGUUUUGCAGGUACCGCAUGAAUAAGGACCGGCUAAUUCCGUG